GCGCCCUAGGGCCUGCCCAGCGCAAGCGCACUUGCUUGAAGAAACAGGUGGUGAGAAUCUGGUUUUUAGCUCAGCCUCCAACCCUGCCUCCUGUGUUGUUCCUCCUACUGAGGAAAGAAGAGGGUGCAAGCCAUCUCCCCGUUAAUCCCGAAUCCUUGUCAGGCAGCUGCAGCAGGCGCUCCCGCGGCUGCCGAUGGCUCCCUACCACUGGCUUCUGGAGAACAGCAAUUUAGCAGCCUUUGCACCCGGAAUAGUCUGUGCAUGCUCAAUAGUUGGGCAGGGGGCUUUUCCCAAAGGUCAUCACACGACAGGGUCAAAGGGAUUACAGCGGGCGUUUCAUAGCAACGGUCAACAACAGCCACUGCAGCAAGAUUUUUCAGCUCUGAGUUCUGCCCAGAUAACUGCUCUCCCAUAAUGCCAAGCAGCUCUGCUGUGAAGGAACGAAGCAGGUUUAGUGCAAAACAUUUAAAAUGUUUCUGCUCUCUCCCUCCUGCUCAAGAGCAUUCUGAAGAAGUGGAAAGAUCUGUCCCAUCUUUCCCUCUUGCCAGGCAUUCCUAUUUAUAGUUUCUGAUGCUGGCAGGUCUGAAGGAGUCAAGAAUUUUAAAAUCACUUCCGUUGUUCUAGGGCAUGUUCCCUGCCCCUGCGCCGGCUUCUCCUCGGCCAUUAGAAACUUAUUAUUUCUGGUUCCCAUAUGGUAGGGGAUUGGGGUCAAAGGAAGACAAAGAGAAAGAAAGAUUUGCAGCAUGCAAAAGUGUAGGUUCUGUUUUUUAAAGCCUCAGAGGAAAAUAAAUUGUGUUUGUAUCCCUGUAGUGUUUUCUAUUUAGGUCUGUCCAUAACUAAGCCCUCCCAGUCUCUUCCUGUUCCUUUUUUUAGAGAAAAAGUUUUAGGUUGACUUCAUCCUUGAAUCCUGCUUCACAGAGAUGCUGAUGAAUCUGAGGGCAAAGAGAAAAAGGCAAGAGGCAUUUGCUGCCUGGAUGCCAGAAGCCAGUAAAGGGUUUUGCAAUUCAUCUCCCUAUUCCUAGCAGCACAUGAUAAAUUACCAGCAUCAAUCUAUCUAACGGUAUCAGAUUUCAGAACUUGUGAGUCAUAUGUUCAUGGCAUUGCUUUGUGCAAAUAUAUACUGUAAAUAU